GUCCGUAUCGAUUAGGGGUUAAAUCACUUCGUUGUGGAACAUCUCUUGCUCCGAAGAGCCGCUGGUUCGAUUCCAGCUACGGACA
rfam:Pleurotus ostreatus PC15 unplaced genomic scaffold scaffold_04, whole genome shotgun sequence.